GUACUAUCCCUGAUGGAGCAGCAGGUACCAGGUACUAUCCCUGAUGGAGCAGCAGGUACCAGGUACUAUCCCUGAUGGAGGAGCAGGUACCAGGUACUAUCCCUGAUGGAGUCGAGUAGAGCUAGAACUGUAAAAUGGAAAAGCCCCA